rnacentral:lncRNA from 1 species
GCAAAUACCCCCCUAUGAAAAUUAGUCAAAGGCAAUAAGGCCCCUGCUAUCCAAACGUGUGUAGCACGCGCGGAAUGUGCGAAUGGGUGAGUAUUUUUUACGCAAAAAGACUCAAAUACCCUUUAAAUUAGAAAUUUAAAAAAUUAUAAAUUCACCCCAUAAUUUUAAUCAGGCCCAAAAUGAAGUUUUCAAAAUUUUCAAUUCAAUCCCCAAUAUUUGUAAAAAGCCAUCUUCCCCAAUCAACCCAAAACCACACCCCAAAAUCAGACCCCAACCCAAAAUGUAACUCUUCAUCGCUCCUAUUGGAGAUAUUGACAGCUCCUCUCAUCCCGUCACUUUCCUCAGGCAUGGCCCUCUUCAGUCUUCUCUUCCCCUGGGUUUCUUAAUCUAUGCCGGCUGCGCAUUCUCGAUCCCCGCCUCCAUCGCAUCCUCAGUCGUCGUCCAUUCCCCCCAUCCCUUCCUAGGACCGCGCAAUACUCCGCCUAUUCUCCUCAUCCCGCUUGACGAGCUAUUUCCCUCCUCGUCUGCACCAACGACCUCGCCGGAGUUAGGGCUAACAUUUUCGGAAAAACGAGCAAGAAGAGCAGAUUUCUUCCUGCUUUUUAUUUUUUUUUAAUUUUAUUUUUUAUUUCUACUUUCUGAUUUUGUGCAGAUGAACAAAAAAGAAAAGGACUCAACUGUUCUGAUUUUUUUCUUCAAGGGUAGUUCAUUGAAUUGAUUUUUGGAUUUUUUGGAUUCAGAAUUUGGGGUUUGAGAAUUGAGAUGUUGGGUAAUGG